ensembl:snRNA U6 U6 spliceosomal RNA
AUGCUCAGUUCAGUAGCACAUAUACUAAAAUUAGAAUGAUAUAGAGAUGAUUAGUUUUGCCCUUCUGCAAGAAUGACACACAUAUUCAUGAAAUGUUCCAUUUCUCU